AAUACAUCAGUGUUCAGGAAAAGCACCUCAUCUCUUGGGGCUUCAGACUUCCAGUCUCUGACUCUUGAGUCUCAUCUUGGAUAACAGGACUCAGUCAAAUAUGAAGAUCUUUGUCUUUGCCUUUAUCAUGGUUCUCAUGGUUGCCAUGAUCGGAGCUGAUUCGUCUGAAGAAAAAUAUAGGAACUUUUUACCUCGCCCUA